rnacentral:rRNA from 1 species
CAAUAGCGUAUAUUUAAGUUGUUGCAGUUAAAAAGCUCGUAGUUGGAUUUCGGAUGGGACUUGCCGGUCCGUCGUUUCGAUGUGCACUGGCCAGUCCUAUCUUGUUGUCGGGGACUAGCUCCUGGGCUUCACUGUCCGGGACUAGGAGCUGACGAGGUUACUUUGAGUAAAUUAGAGUGUUCAAAGCAAGCCUACGCUCUGAAUACAUUAGCAUGGAAUAACACGAUAGGACUCUGGCUUAUCUUGUUGGUCUGUGAGACCAGAGUAAUGAUUAAGAGGGACAGUCGGGGGCAUUCGUAUUUCAUUGUCAGAGGUGAAAUUCUUGGAUUUAUGAAAGACGAACUUCUACGAAAGCAUUUGUCAAGGAUGUUUUCAUUAA